GGAGCCUCUUGGAGUUCAUCUUUUGGAGGCUCCCUCCCCGGGCUGCCCCCCCCCCGCCCCCCACUGCCACCUUCUUCCCCAAUCUCUCAGCUGAGCAGCACGCCAGCAUCACUUGCUGCCAGGUCUCUGAAAGGAAAAUUUGUUGGCGAGGUACCAGGCAGGGCUCCCUGCACAGGGACAGCAGAAGCUAGAAGCCACCCAGACCUGCUUUUGUGUCACUAUGGAAAUACUUUCAGAGAAACCAUCUGCUUUUGUUUGGAAGUCACUGGAGAACGUCCUUCUCUGUCCUCUAUAGAAACAGGGCUUAUUAUAAUAUUACUGUGACCUUCGGGAGCAGGCUGGGAAACUCAGGUGUGGGUACACUGAUUGAUGGUGACCUUCUGUCCCUCUCAACUCUUAAACCUCCUCCUCCCAACCCUAUGCCAGCUGGCUUGGUCCUUCUGGGGGACUUUAAGCCUGACCUAAUGCCAAGCUGUACGUGUGUGUGUGUUCAGUCACUCAGUCAUGUCCGACUCUUUGCGACCUUGUGGCAUGCAGCCCGCCAGGCUCCUGUGUCCAUGGUUUUUCAGGCAAGGAUACUGGACUGGGUUGCCAUGCCCUCCUCCAGGGGAUCUUCCUGACCCAGGGACUGAACCUCCAUCUCUUGAGUCUCCUGCACUGACAGGUGAUUCUGUACCUGUUGAACCAAGCUGUGAGCCAUGCCCUAAGCCGGAAACAUUGCUGACUUGAGACGUGGGGGCCACUGGGUCAUCAUUGGAUGAAGUCAGAAGAAACUCUAGGUGGUCAGAGUCCUUGUGGGCCUAGAAUCCAGGCUUGGAGGUUGCUGAUGUCUAGUCAGAUGUGACAAAGUUCUGGCAAAAUGGAUUUUUUCAGUUGUGCAGGCUUGGCAGAUGGUACUUUUCAGCCUUUGGGACAAUGUCCAGUUGUCCUCUGGAUUAGGACUAUUCUGAAGGAGUCAGAAAUGGUAGCACUUAUCUUUCCCCAGACCAGAAAGUAUGGGCCAAAUAACAGUUCUGAAUUAGCUUUGGCUUUUGCUAAGCACAAAGCACCCCUUAGGCCUAGCAUAGAUCCCUUCUAAGGUAAGUGCCCGUACAGUCCUCAGUGAGUUGUGAUUGCUGUGGAUUAGAAGGCUGCCAUCAUCACUCACCAUGGCGUUGUGUCUUCCAUUUGGCUGGAGAAGGGAAGCUGAAUUCAUUGAUAUAUUGAUAGAAGUUAUUUAGCCUAGGAAUUUGCAUUUAUAACUUGUUUGUCCCACGUGAAAAAGCAAGAUGGGAAAUUUAAGUCUAGCACAGGGUGCAGAUAAUUCUCAAUACCACAUGUGAAGAGUCAUUGAUCAGUCUAACUACCUGUUUUAGCUAGAAGAUAAAGGUAAAGAUAAAUGAAAUAAUAGCUGAACCACUUUUUCAUUCUGGUGGUUAUGAGGGCAAACUUGCUAUUUGUCUUGAUAUACUGAAAGCCCUUCAAACAGAGUAAAAAAGAUGAGCUUACUCACCUUUAAACCAAGGGCUUUGGGGAGGCUUUUGCAAAGGGCAGUGAUGUGACGUUUUCGUUAACCUUUUAAUGGCAGUACAAACAACCCUCCAGGAAGACGGGGACCUCAGGAACUUGUUUUUGUUUUGAAAUGAAACUACCCAGGUGGCGCAAGUGGCAAAGAAUCCACUUGCGUCUCCUGCUAAUGCAAGAGACGUGGAUUUAAUCUCUGGGUCGGGAAGAUCCCCUGGAGAAGGAAAUGGCAACCCACUCCAGUGUUCUUGCCUAGAAAAUCCCAUGGACAGAGGAGCCUGGUGAGCUACAGUCCAUGGGGUCGCCAAGAGUCAGCCCUGACUCUGGACUGCUAAAUCAAAGAAAGAAAAGAAACCAGAGAGCCCAGGGAAUGAGAAAGCCCAGGGGGUGCUUUCUCCCAUCCCAGGAGGAUCAUACUCACAGAGGUACAGGAAGGGGGCCGGGGGUGCUGCUGAAUAAGACCAUGUGUUCAGCUUGACAAUGAACUUGCCUUGGCGUGGUGACGGUUCUCCGCCAGGCGGGAAAGGUGGUAAUAUGGGGACCGGGGUGUGUCGGGUGGGCGCUCAUCUCCCCGGCAGGCUCCUGGCUGUGGGCCCAGCCUCCGAAAGCGCCAGUCCUCGGUCCCUUCUCUGCACUCCUGCUCUGCCUCCACGUAGUGCCCUGCGGUGAGGCUCCUGCGUGGCUGGGGUCGCCACAGCAGGCCAGCCCACCCCUCUCGUUUCAGGAAAGCCCUUUUGUGAUUCAGGUGCAGGGGAAGAGGAGCUCAGGGCUCCUUUUACUCCCAAGUCAUGGAUGGAUUUUUUUUUUUUAAUAUUCCAUUUGUAUUACUAAUAUACCUCUGUUCCCAGGAGCUACUGGAGGGCCGAGUGUGGUGAGAAAAGGCUGUGAAUUAAGUUAAUGUUUUUCUGAUAAGAAAUGGAAGUUUAUUUUUAUAUGGAUACGACUAUGUGAUGCAUUGAGGAUGCAGAUGUUGAAAUGGAAGGAAAUAUCAAAAUGAUAAUCCUGGAAGAAAUGGGCAGUAUUACAAUUUGGAAGCAGCUGAAACCCCCCUUUUUUUAAUUUAAAUGUUCUGGUGAGUGAAUAAGGACUGUCCUGUGAUAUCUAACAGCCUUUUGAGGAGAUAAAGUUGACAGUCCUGUGGAGGAUGACAUAGAGUCACCAACUUUAAGUAAGACUCUUGUACAAAAGGGGGUGAAUGUGAUCAGGCUGAUUGCUAGGCCUCUUAACUGGAGGGAGUCAGAGGUAGUUUUAUAACUGUCACUUUAGCUCAUUUUUUUGGAGCUGGAAUACAGGGACUGUUGGAUGAAACUGCACAUUUAGAAAGGAAGUAAUUUUCUAGUACUAUAUAGAGAACUGAUGAUGGAGAAGUAAAGCCCUGUUCUCAUCUCUUUAGCAUUUAUUCUAGAAGCUGAGCACUGAAUGGGCUUUUACAGGUAAUAGGAUCUCAAUUCAGGAAAUGUAUUUAAUCACCAUAAACAGAUGGGUACGAACCACCUCUCUUUGCUGUAGAAUGCUUUACACUAAUGGUACAUCUAUUUUGCUAAGGACAGUUGGGGGAUGCGGAGGUGGGGUGUAGGGUUUUAUGAACUAGCCAGAGAUGAUCCACAAAACGAAAAAUCCACACACGGGUCACUGAGUUAUCUGGUUGUCAGCAUAUACUGUUGACAUUGGAGUGAAAACGCCUUCCUUUGUCCAAAUCAAACAAAGACUGAGUUUCAAUCUAGCCCUCCAAGACCAGUGAGGAAAGCUGUAGAUUCUGUGCUUUUGAGAAGACUGGGUAGGAGACCUGAGGGGUAUGGGGUAGAGGAAAACAAAACUAACCUCCUUUGUACAUCUCAGGCUUGUUGGCCGAAUUUUUUUUUUUUUUUUUAAAUCGAUCUGACGAGUAAGUCUUUUCUGAAAAAGAAACUUGGGAGAAGUUCUGUGUUUUCCAAGUUUAAGAUCAGCAUAGCCUCCCCGUCGCCUUAAAUGUCAAACCCCUACUGUGAUGAAUAUCCCAGUGUAAGUCAUAGCAAUAAGAGAAACGGAAUCUAGUUUUGUUUCAAGUCUUCAGCUCCUAGGAUGAAAUUAGUAAGACAGUUGAUACAGCUCCCUGAAUGUCCUGCAUCUUGCUCUGUUGUCCUCUCUCUUCGGUGGGAAUCAUUUAGAAGGCCUAAGGAAAGCUGGGAUUCAUCCCAGCGGGUACAUGUUUCUCGAACUGAUUUUGUUCUGUGCUACAGAUAACAUCUGUGUAUAUCAUAUCUGUAUAUAUGUGAACCAAGCUGUAUGCAGAGAGGUAGAUAUAACUAUAUUUACAGAAAACAGUUUUUAUGAUUAAAAUUCACAUUUUAACAUGAACACGUGUGCUGCACUCCUUUGCCUGGUCCGAGAAAGGUGGUUUGUGAUAGGAAGGAGCGGCAGCC
ensembl:lncRNA